CAGCCGCCACGGGAACACGAAGGGGGCUAGCGUUGCUCGGAAUGACUGGGCGUAAAGGGCGCGUAGGCGGCGAUCAAAGUCAGGCGUGAAAUUCCUGGGCUCAACCUGGGGGCUGCGCUUGAUACUUGGUUGCUUGAGUGGGGAAGAGGGUCGUGGAAUUCCCAGUGUAGAGGUGAAAUUCGUAGAUAUUGGGAAGAACACCGGUGGCGAAGGCGGCGACCUGGUCCUUGACUGACGCUGAGGCGCGAAAGCGUGGGGAGCAAACAGGAUUAGAUACCCCAGUAGUCCCUGUCUCUUAUAC
rnacentral:rRNA from 1 species